ACAGUACUCCCAGCUAUAGCAAGCGGCAGUUAUGGAGCAUGCGCAGCAGCAGGGGCGGCCGCAGGUCGCCGUUCAAUAAUACGUAAUGUAUAGACUUUUGAGUAUACGAAGCUCCCUGUUUCUCUAGGUUCACCUGAGAUUUAUCUGGUCUUUCAGGGCUUAAAAGGGAGACAUUCCCAAAGAAGAUUCCGUGGGAAGUCUCCUACAAGCCCCGAAGGAAGGGAAUCUCUCUCCUCAUACCUUGAGUUUCCUGAGUACAAUUAUUAUAGAUAUACGAAGAUCUCUGUGCUCAUGGAGAAUUUGUGUCAAGGGAUUUGUACAGCCCUGUAGGAGACACCUCCAGAGAAAGUAACAGCUCUCAAUUGAUUAGCUGAGGAGACCGAUUUUGUAAAUCACUACUUUUCUAACAACACUGGCACAGAUGGCCAAGCAUUCUCCCUUUUCUCAGAGCUGGUUUUCCAUCCCGGAAAGAGGUCUUACAUAUACAAAGUUACUCUAAUCAGUUGU
rnacentral:lncRNA from 1 species